rnacentral:rRNA from 1 species
AAAGUAGGGGAUCGCAAGACCUUGCGCUUUUGGAGUGGCCGAUGCCUGAUUAGCUAGUUGGUGGGGUAAUGGCCUACCAAGGCGACGAUCAGUAGUUGGUCUGAGAGGACGACCAGCCACACUGGGACUGAGACACGGCCCAGACUCCUACGGGAGGCAGCAGUGGGGAAUUUUGGACAAUGGGCGAAAGCCUGAUCCAGCAAUGCCGCGUGAGUGAAGAAGGCCUUCGGGUUGUAAAGCUCUUUCAGUCGAGAAGAAAAGGUUGUGACUAAUAAUCACAACUCAUGACGGUAUCGACAGAAGAAGCACCGGCUAACUACGUGCCAGCAGCCGCGGUAAUACGUAGGGUGCGAGCGUUAAUCGGAAUUACUGGGCGUAAAGGGUGCGCAGGCGGCUUUGUAAGUCAGAUGUGAAAUCCCCGGGCUUAACCUGGGAAUUGCGUUUGAAACUACAAGGCUAG